rnacentral:tRNA from 1 species
GCCUGGGUAGCUCAAUCAGUUAAGCAUCUGACUUCAGCUCAGGUCAUGAUCUCACAGUUCAUGGGUUUGAGCCCCACGUCAGGCU